ACUGCGUUAAGUGCGUAAUCUUGCAGAAAUUUUCCAAGGAACAAUAAUAGAAGACAGCGACGACAGAAAUAAGUCGGGAGAGGUGAUCGAAGCAAAAAAAGUCUUUCGUGGACUGUAACAACCGACGGAAGAAAAAGAUUUGUGCUGCAAUCUAUAUAUAUAAAUUCCAAAUACCACUGACUCACUGAUCGCUGUAUCUCAAAAACUACUUAACGUACGCACUUGAAAUUUAAAAUAGAAGAUCCUCUGUC